GUAAAGCAGGUGCCAUCGUUAUCAGAUUAGCUGGGUCUGCUUGGAAGGGUCUGUCGCAAUCUGGCUGGUUGACUCCUGUUAUUCUCUCAUAGGAGGAGGAGGUAGGAUGGCUCACUGGACCAUCAUCUCAGAAUCCAGUUGUUCCUCCAGCCAUGCGUAUGCAAUUCUGCCCUACCUGUGUGGGUCUUAGAAGAUGCUACACUAUGUAGGCUAGGGGAAGACACCUCAGGGGGCUCUGUCGAUGCAGCCAUGGAAAAGCCAUCAACCAUGCUGGGUGAAGAUUUUCCAGUGUGGCAGCUGUGAGGUCACCUGAACUUCAGCAGGCCUGUGUCAAGGCGACAAAACCAGCCAGAGCACCGUAUGCUUUGUUGAGAACCACCAUCAGGAACUAACUUAUCAGGACGUCUAAUGAGCAUGCAGAAGUAAGUGCUCUACAUCGACAAAGUGACAGUGCUCUGAGGAAUAACCCAAGAACAAGAGGAGGAGAGGGACUCCUCAGGUUAUCUAAGAAGUGAUGUCGAGGGGUUAGAGAGAUGGCUCAGUGGUUAAGAGCAUCGGCUGCUUUUCCAGAGGUCCUGAGUUCAAUUCCCAGCAACCAUAUGGUGGCUCAAACUGUCUGUAAUGGGAUCUGGUGUCCUCUUUUGGCCUGCAGGUAAAACACUGUAUAUAUAAUAAAAAUAAAUUGUAUACAUAAUAAAAAUAAAUCUUGAAAAAAAAAGUGACGUCAAGGCUUGUCCUCAUGUGUGAGGAAGUUUAUAGCAGUGCCUUCAAGAAUCUUGAGAAGGUCCUUCAAGGAGACUGGUGUAUGGGGAAGGCAGAGGGGGACUGUCACAGAGACUACGGCUAUGUCUUACAGGAAAGGGAUGAG